CAAAAUGCUGAUCCAGUAACUGCUGUAGAAUUUCUUGCCAAAUAUUGCCAAUGGGCCGUAGUAACACUGGGUCCUAAUGGAUGCAUUGCUAAAUAUGGAAACGAGAUUGCACGUGUCCCGGCAAUAGGAGAAGCAAAGGCAACUGAUGCAACAGGGGCAGGGGAUCUUUUUGCAAGUGGAUUUUUGUAUGGAGUGAUCAAAGGUCUGUCACUUGAAGAGUGCUGCAAAGUGGGCGCAUGCAGCCAUGAAGCACCGACACCAACACUGGACACAACACGGACACGUGGAUACCGGACACUUAUACGGACACGUGUUGGACACCGGACACAGCAAGGGACUAGAGUAUCCGUGCUUCAUAGGCAUGCAAUAGUAGGUCUGUUGUUCGCUCUCUGGCGGCGAAGUCACUUUGAAGAAUUGCCACUGGAUGUACAAACAAAUGCAAAUAAAGGAUCUUCCCACGCCUGAUAUAUCCAAAUAACUAAUGAAUAGUCUCAGUGAAAGAAAGAAAGUUACUUGCUUCAAUGUUUCCUUUUUCUUUCUUUCUUUCUUUACAUUUCAUCUUUUGCCACUAAAUGGCAGCUAUUGUUCCAGUUGUGUACUGGUUUAAUUAAUAAAUGCAAGCAAGCCUUAACAAAUUCCACGGAAGAAACACACAAGUAUACUUGAGCCUCGAAUAUAUCUAAGCUUGAUGCAAGUAGGAUUUGUCAUUCCUAGCUUAAUUUUAAAACAUAACAAACUCAAUGGUUACUUUGAUUU